CGGCCGCGUCGACGUAACGGCUCACCUAGGCGACGAUACAUAGCCGACCUGAGAGGGUGAUCGGCCACACUGGGACUGAGACACGGCCCAGACUCCUACGGGAGGCAGCAGUAGGGAAUCUUCGGCAAUGGGGGCAACCCUGACCGAGCAACGCCGCGUGAGUGAAGAAGGUUUUCGGAUCGUAAAGCUCUGUUGUAAGUCAAGAACGAGUGUGAGAGUGGAAAGUUCACACUGUGACGGUAGCUUACCAGAAAGGGACGGCUAACUACGUGCCAGCAGCCGCGGUAAUACGUAGGUGGCAAGCGUUGUCCGGAAUUAUUGGGCGUAAAGCGCGCGCAGGCGGUCCUUU
rnacentral:rRNA from 1 species